UACAGAGGUCUCAAGCGUUGUUCGGAUUCAUUGGGCGUAAAGGGUGCGUAGGCGGCGCGGUAAGUCGGGUGUGAAAUCUUGGAGCUUAACUCCGAAACUGCAUUCGAUACUGCCGUGCUUGAGGACUGGAGAGGAGACUGGAAUUUACGGUGUAGCGGUGAAAUGCGUAGAUAUCGUAAGGAAGACCAGUGGCGAAGGCGGCGACCUGGACCUAUGCUGACGCUGAGGCGCGAAAGCGUGGGGAGCGAGCCGG
rnacentral:rRNA from 1 species